AGGAGCUGUAGAUUUUUUCAUGGCAUUCGAGAAAUGAUCACUUGACAAGAAGCUUAUUUUAGAUUACAUUACGUUAUAAACAAGACACUGCAACACAAACAGAACAGAAAUUACAAGUCCUUAUUCUCUCUCAAACAGCAGAAAAUAUCAAGUCCUUUAUCUAUUAGCAGCUCUCAAAAUUCAGCCCUGAAAAAAUCUACAGCUCCUGUUUGGUGGCCUCACUUUUUUCGAGCUUGGCUGGUUCAGGUUUCUCUUCACCUGCAAUGCUAACAACUUUAGGACCUUUGAUCUUAUCUGCAGACAACUUGGAGAAACUUAAGGUAAGCACACCAUUUUCAAGCUUAGCUUUUACAGAGUCCAAAUCCACAUUGUCAGGCAACCUGAAUUGUCUCCAAAACUUGCCGUAAGAUCUCUCCACCCUGUGCCAGUGAUCCCCUUUCUUCUCUUCCUCUCUUUUCCUCUCUCCGCUCACUCUCAACACCCUAUUCUCCUCCACCUCAAUCUUCAGUUCCUCCUUUUUCAAACCAGGCACAUCUAGCGUUAUAACAUGACCAUCAGGUGUUUCUUUCCAGUCUACCCUGGCUAGAGAGAGUUCCACACUGUUAUCCCUUUCAAUCCCAAAUGGUAUGUGUUCCAAGACUCUAAAUGGAUCUGGGAGACGGUCUGACCAGAGAUCAGUCAGCAGACUUCCAGGACGAUCAACAAAUGGGAGAAGUGAUGCAUUGGCGGACCCAGGAAAGCAGAGCAAGAUCGAGAAGAAGCUGAUAAAGAAGGGCAGUAACAAUUGCUUCAUUUUUCUCUGUUUCUACUCUUGAUCUGUUGUUGCUUCUAGUGAUUGCUCUCUUUUAUGCAAAGGGUUUCGAUGGAGUGGAAGUAACAGUGUUGUUGCUAAGGUGUUUGAUGUUCUUGUGUGG
rnacentral:misc_RNA from 1 species